UUUCUCGCUUCAUCCGCGGUCCCUGUCUGUUUUCGUUAUGGCGCCUUGUACUUCUACCCAACGUUGCCCGACCCCAUCUUCCCAGCCCACCAGCUCGGUCCGCAUCUCCGGAUGUUUCGUGAGAUACCGAGCCUGCCGGGAAGGAACCGGAUUUUUCCGUCUGGUCCAAGGAAGCACGGGUUAUGGCCACAUGCGCAGUGAUAACUCAGGGCCCCGCGCCUUUUGACGGCUGUUGAUGAAGAUAGUGAGGAGGGAGACCAGAAGAUAAUGGACAACGAUACAGCAGAAGGGCCUGGUUACACUUGAGCUUAUUUCUUGGAAGAGUCUGAGAAGAUGGCCUGUCAGGCUCCUAACACUAAGGGCCAUGUAACCAGUGAAGCAGCCAUUAUAUAUGAUUUGGUCUACACUUGUUGGAAAAAUUCCACAAGAGGAUCUCCUGGAAGCUAGCAGAAGUUUUUGGCUUGUACAUUGCCAGGCAGCCAUUGGAAUCAGAGCUGCAGUCAGAUUAAGGCCAGCCUGGCCGACAUUGAGAAACCUCAUUUUGGAAAAGUGAAAUACUUUGUCAAUUAACAUGCAGUUGGUUCAAUAAAGACUUUUGGAAAGUG
rnacentral:lncRNA from 1 species